rnacentral:lncRNA from 1 species
AAUUUGAUUGCACUGUGGUCUGACAGACUGUUUGUUAUGAUUUUAGUUCUUUUGUAUUUGCGAAGGAGUGUUUUACUUCCACUUAUGUGGUCAAUUUUAAAGUGCCAUGUGGCACCGAGAAGAAUGUAUAUUCUGUUGUUUUGGGGUGGAGAGUUCUGUAGAUAUCUAUUAGGUCCACUUGUUCCAGAGCUGAGUUCAAGUCCUAAAUAUCCUUGUUAAUUUUCAGUCUCAUUGAUCUGUCUAAUAUUGACAGUGGGGUGUUAAAGUCUCCCACUAUUAUUGUGUGGGAGUCUAAGUCUCAUUUACAUUUGAGGUUAUUUAUGUUUGAAUUAAAUCCUGUCAUCAUGACGCUAGCUGGUUAUUUUGCACAGUAGUUGAUGCUGUUUCUUCAUAGUGUCAUUGGUCUUUAUAUUUUUGAGUGUUUUGCAGUGUCUGGUACCAGUUUUUCAUUUUCAUAUUUAGUGCUUUCUUCAGGAGCUCUUGCAAGGCAGGCAUGGUGGUGACGAAUUUCCUCAGCAUUUUCUUGUCUGUAAAGGAUUUUAUUUCUCCUUUGCUUAUGAAGCUUAGUUUGGCUGGAUAUGAAAUUCUAGGUUGAAAAUUCUUUUCUUUAAGAAUGUUGAAUAUUGGCCCCCACACUCUUCUGGCUUUAGUGUUUCUGCUGAGAGAUCUGCUGUUAGUCUGAUGAGCUUCCCUUUGUAGGUGACUCACCUUUCUCUCUGGCUGCACUUAACAUUUUUUCCUUUAUUUUGACCUUGGUGAAUAUGAUGAUGUGUCUUGGGUUGAUCUUCUUGUGGAGGAUCUUAGUGGUGUUCUCUGUAUUUCCUGAAUUUGAAUAUUGGGCUGUCUUGCUAGGUUGGGGAAGUUCUUCUGGUUAAUAUUCUGAAGUGUGUUUUCGAACUUGGUUCCAUUCUCCCUGUCUCUUUCAGGUACUCCAAUCAGUUGUAGGUGCAGUCUUUUUUACAUAGUCCCAUAUUUAUCGGAGGUUUUCUUCAUUCCUUUUCAUUCUGUUUUCUCUAAUCUUCUCUGCCUGCCUUAUGUCAGCAGGAUAGUCUUCCAUCUCCAAUAUUCUUUCUUCUGCUUGAUCAAUUUGACUAUUGACAAUUGUGUAUGCUUCAUGAUGUUCUUGUGCUGUGUUUUUCAGCUCCAUCAGAUCAUUUAUGUUCCUCUCUAAAGUGGUUAUUCUAGUUCACAGCUCCUCUAAACUUUAACAAGGUUCUUAGCUUCUUUGCAUUGGUUUAGAACAUGCUCCUUUACCUCAGUGACCUUUGUUAUUACCCACCUUCUGAAGUCUACUUCCAUCAAUUUGUCCAUCUCAUCCUCUGUCCUGUUCUGCACCCUUGCUAGAGAAGUGUUGCUAUCAUUUGGAGGAGAAGAAGCACUCUGGUCUUUUGGGUCUUUGCAUUGUUUUCAUUGAUUCUUUCUCAUCUUUGUGAGUUUGUCUAAUUUCAAUCUUUGAGGCUGCUGACCCUUAAAUGAGGUUUUUGUGGGGACUUUUUUUGUUGAUACUGUUGCUGCCUUCUGUUUAUUUGUUUUUCUUUCAAUAGUCAGGUCUCUCUUCCGUAUGGCUAUUGUGGUUUGCUGGGGGCUCACCUAAAACCCUAUUCAUACGGUUCCCUCCUGUGUCUGGAGAUACCAUCCGAGGAGGCUGGAGAAGAGCAAAGACGGGUGCCUGCUCCUUCCUCUGGGAUCUCUGACCUUGAGGGGCACCGACCUGAUGCCAGUAGGGACACUCCUGUAUAGGAUGUCUGACAACCCCUGUUGGUGAGUCUUACCAAGUUGGCGAGGGCACAGAAAGCAGGACCCAUUUAAUGAAGCACUUUGGCUGUCUCUUGGUGUAGGGGGUGCGCAGUGCUGAGGGAAAACCCACUUGUUUUGGAUGCCUGGAUUCUUCAGAGCUAGCAGAGGAAAGACUAAGUCUGCUGGUCUGUGGAGACUACAGCCACCCCUCCCCGUAGAGGCUCAGGCCCAGGGAGGUCAGAGUUCUGUCCUUGAGCCCCUGGCUGGAGUUGGAAAUCCUGCAGAGAGGCCCUGCAGCCACAAUGUUGGCUGCUGCCCUUCUCCAAGGAGCUCAAAUGGCUUAGACAUCACAACCAGAGCAGUGGUGAUGGCUGCCCCUCCCCCGGGGCACCCAGCUGGCUUAGGCUGAUUCUAGUUGAGUGAGAAUCUGUGUGGCUUCAUGGUAGGGACCCAAGGCCCUGGUGGCACGGGCUCAUGAGUGGGAUCUUCCGAUCCAUUGGUUGCACCGUUCUGUGGAAAAAGCAGUUUCCCGGGCUGGGUAGCACACACACUCACCACCUCCCUUGGCUGGGGGUGGGAGCUCCCCUGCCCCCGCGUGGCUUUCAGGUGGGCUGCCGCACCACUCUGCUCUUCCUUCCUCUCCGUGGGUUAUGCCAGCUGCCUAGUCAGUCCUAAUAUCAGAACCUGUAUAUCUUGGUUGCCAGUGCAGGAUUCACAUACUGCUUUGGAUUUUUUCCAUGGGAGUCCCCGAUCACUGCUGCUUUUAGUCAGCUAUCUUGGCUCUGCUUCCCUUUCUUGAUUUUACCAUUAAUGGGAACCUAGGUUGAUUCUACGUCUUUGCAAUUGUGAAUAAUGCCACCACAAUGAACAUUUGAUUGUAUGUGUCUUUUGGUAGAAUGAUUUAUUUUCUUUUGGGUAUUUACCCAGUAAUGGGAUUGCUGGGUCGAACAGUAGUUCUGUUUUAAUUUCUUUGAGAAACCACCAAACUGCUUUCCACAGUGGCUGAACUCAUUUACAUUCCCAACAACAAUGCAUAAGCAUUCCCUUUUUUCCUCAGCCUUGCCAGCAUCUGUUGUUUUUUGCCUUUUAUAAUAGCCAUUCUGACUGGUGUGAGAUGUUAUCUCAUUGUGGUUUUGAUGUGCACUUUGAUGAUUAAUGAUGUUGAGCUUAUUUCACAUGUUUGUCAGCCAUUUGCGUGUCUUCUUUUGAGAAGUGUCUGUUCAUGUCUUUUGCCCUUUCUUUAAUGGGAUUAUUGGUUUUUUUCCUUAUUGAAUUGAACUUCCUUAUAGAAUCUGGAUGUUAGACCUUUGUUGGAUGUGUAGUUUGUGAAUAUUUUCUCCCGUUCUGUAGGUUGUCUGUUUAUUCUGUUGAUAGUUUUUUUUACUGUGCAAAAGCUCCAUAAUGUAAUAGGUCCCACUUGUUAACUUUUGCUUUUGUUGCUAUUGUUUCCGAGGACUUAGUCAUAAUUCCUUUCACAGGCUAAAGUCCAGAAUGAUGUUCCUUAGAGUUUCUUCUAGGAUUUUUAUAGUUUGAGGUCUUACAUUUAAAUAUUUAAUGCACCUUGAGUUAAUUUUUAUAGAAGGUGAUAGGUAGGGGUUUAGUUUCAUUCUUGUGCAUAUGAAUAGCCAGCUGUUCAAGCACCAUUUUUAAAAAUGUUUAUUUUAAGUAUCUGUGCAGGUUUAUUAUAUAAACUUGUGUCAAGGGAGUUAGUUGUAUGGAUUGUUUGGUCUAGGUAUUAAACCUAGUACUCUUUAGUUAUUUUUCCUGAUCCUCUUCCUCAUUCCACCCUCCACCCUCACGUAACCCUCAGUAUCUGUUGUUUCCCUCUAUGUGUUCAUGUGUUCUCAUCAUUUAGCUCCUACUUAUAAGUAAGAACAUGCAGUAUUUCAUUUUCUGUUCCUGCAUUAGUUUACUAAAGAUAAUGGCCUCCAGCUCCAUCCAUGUUCCUGCAAAGGAUAUGAUCUUGUUCUUUUUCAUGGCUGCACAGUAUUCCAUGGUGUAUGUGUACCACAUUUUCUUUAUCCAGUCUACCAUAGUUGGGCAUUUAGGUUGACUCCAUGUCUUUGCUAUUGUGAAUAGUGUUGCAGUGAACAUAUGCAUGCAUGUGUGUAAUAGCCAUUCUGGCUGUUAAAAAGUAAAUAAUAGAUGCUGGUGAGAUUGUAGAGAAAAAGGAACAUUUAUACACUGUUGGUGGGAGUGUAAAUUAGUUCAACCACUGUGGAAGACAGUGUGGUGAUUCCUCAAAAACCUAAAGACAGAAAUACCAUUCGAUCCAGCAAUCCCAUUCCUGGGUAUAUAUCCAAAGGAAUAUAAAUUAUUCUAUCAUAAAGACACACACACACACACAUAUGUUCACUGCAGCACUAUUCACAAUAGCAAAGACAUAGUAUCAACCCAAAUACCCAUCAAUGAUAGACUGGAUAAAGAAAAUGUGAUACAUAUACACCACGGAACCCUAUGUAGCCAUAAAAAAGAAUGAGAUCAUAUCCUUUGCAGGAACCUGUAUAGGGCUGGAGGCCAUUAUCCUUAGCAAACUAAUGCAAGGACAGAAAAGCAAAUAUCACAUGUUCUUAUAUAUAAAGUGGAAGCUAAAUGUUGAGAACACAUUGAUAUACAGAAGGGAAAAACACACACUGGGGCCUAACAAAGGAUGGAGAGGAUAAGGAAAAAUAACUAAUGGAUACUAGGUUUAAUACCUGGGUGAUGAAAUAAUCUGUAUAACACACCCCCAUGACACAAGUUUACCUAUAUAACAAACCUGCAAAUCCUGCACAUGUACCCCUGAAUUUAACAUAAAAGUUUAAAAAAUAGCCAUUUUGACUGGUGUGAGAUGGUAUCUCAUUGUGGUUUCGAUUUGCAUUUCUCUAAUGAUCAGUGAUAUUGAAUUUGUUUCAUAUGCUUGUUGGCUGCAAUUAUGUCUUCUUUUGAAAAAUGUCUGUUUCAUAGACCAAUGGAACAGAAUAGAGAUCUCAGAAAUAAGACCACACAUCUUCAACCAUCUGAUCUUCGACAAACCUGAUGAAAACAAGCAGUUGGGUAAAGAUUCUCUAUUUAAUAAAUGGUUCUGGGUAAACUGGCUAGCCAUAUGCAGAAAAUUGAUACUGUACCCCUUCCUUACACAUUAUACAACAACUAACUCAAGAUGGAUUAAAGACUUAAAUGUAAAACCCAAAACUGUAAAAACCCUAGAAGAAAAUCUAGGCAAUAACAUUCAGGACAUAGGCAUGGGCAAAGAUUUUGUGACAAAAAUAUCAAAAGCAAUUGCAACAAAAGCAAAAAUUGACAAAUGGGAUAUAAUUAACCUAAAGAGCUUCUACACAGCAAAAGAAACUCUCAUUAGAGUGAACAGACA